UAAUUCAUUAGGUGUACUACGGGAGCAUGUUACAUCUUACGAGUAAUAGGGUGUGACAUUUUGUGUCUUGAUUCAUAGUAGGAUUUUGGCAAGAAAAAUCCUAUUCGACAUUCAUUUCACGUUUCAGCCUUUUAGGCCACUAUAUAGACAUCAAUUUGUUGAGGAUCUAAUCCAAGCAUCCCCAAUAAUGGACGUUCUAGCUUUCCUACUUGCAAUUGCAUGUCUUCUGGCCUUCUUUCUGGUCCACAACUCAAGGAGAACAGAACUAGUAACCUACAACCAAAAUAGAAAGAGAAAAUUAGCCCCUGAGCCAUGUGGUGCUUGGCCAUUACUAGGCCAUCUUCUUCUUAUUCUCAAGGAUCGGGUUCCACUUUUCCGAAUUCUAGGAGCAAUGGCCGAUAAACACGGCCCUGUUUUCACUAUACAACUUGGGACGAAACCCGCUCUUGUGGUAAGCAGCUGGGAAGCUGUAAAGGAUUGCUUCAAAACCAAUGACAGGGUCUUCAUGACUCGUCCUAGUUGUAUUGCCUCAAAAUAUCUGGGUUACAACGGUGCCCUGUUUGGGCUAAGUCCCUAUGGACCAUAUUGGCGUGAUAUUCGCAAGCUUGCAAUUCUUGAGCUUUUAUCCAAUACCCGUCUUGAGAAGCUAAAGCAUGUGCGGGUUUCAGAGGUAGAGACUGGCGUCAGGAACUUGUACGUAUUGUGCACUAAUGGCAGGACUGGUUCAACUGUGGUGGACAUGGACCAGUGGUUUUCCAAUAUGACGAUGAACCUGAUGAUAAGAAUGAUAGCUGGAAAGCCACUCAUUAAGGAUGAGGAAUCUGAGAGAUUCUGCAGAGCAACAAAAAAUUUCAUGCAUCUACUCGGAGUGCUUGUGAUAUCGGAUUUGAUUCCAGGUACAGAAUGGUUGGAUUUGCAGGGGCAUGCGAGAUCUAUGAAGAGAACGGCUAAGGACAUGGACUAUUUCAUUAGUAGGUGGGUAGAGGAGCAUCUUCAUAGGAGGGAAGACGGGCAAGAGAAAGAAGAGCCUGACUUCAUAGAUGUGAUGCUUUCUUUACUUGCAAAUGAGGAUUGGAUAUGUGGACAUAAGAGCGAAACGGUGGUCAAGGCAACAGCCAUGAAUUUGAUCAUAGCUGGCAUGGACACUACAUCUGGUGCCAUGACUUGGGCGCUUUCGUUGGUACUUAAUCAUCCAGAAGUGCUAAAACAAGCACAAGAAGAAAUAGACAACCACGUUGGACGAGAAAGAUGGGUAGAAGAAUCAGAUUUCAACAAUUUGCCAUACCUCCAAGCCAUUGUAAAGGAAACAUUACGGCUCUACCCUUCAGGUCCCCUAUCGGUACCACGGGAGGCCAUGGAAGAUUGCUAUGUAGGUGGCUUUUAUGUCCCUAAAGGAACUAGAUUAUUGGUCAAUAUUUGGAAGUUGCAUCGCGAUCCACGUAUAUGGCGAAAUCCAAACGAAUUUCAUCCUGAGAGGUUUCUUGCUUGUGAGGGUCAUGAAUUCGACGUUCGAGGUCAGAAUUUUGAGUACAUUCCCUUCAGUAGUGGAAGAAGAGCUUGCCCUGGAAUAUCGUCUGGCAUGAAAAUCAGUUGUUUGGUGCUUGCUCGUAUUCUUCACGGCUUCAAUCUGAGAACCCCGACAAAUGCACCUGUAGACAUGAGUGAAGGUUUGGGGGCCACAAUACCUAAAGCAGCACCACUACAUGUCGUUCUUAAGCCUCGUCUAGCACAUCAUCUGUACCAACUUUAGAAGCAUCAUCAAUACAUGUGAUGCCAUGUGUAGUUAUAAUCAAAUAAACAUAUCAGGCUUUAUUUUCUCCUCUUUCUCUCUACAACUUCUCCCUUUCCGCCACUUUCCUUAGCUUGAGGGGUUAGGUUUUGGCCACUAACCACCCCUUUCCUUUCUUUUCUUUUAAAAAUCUUCAUAAAUAAGUGUUUCUACACAGAUCUAGCUCUGUGGGAGCUUUUUCAUUUCUCUCCUGAGGCUUUUAGUGGGUUAUGAGUGAACAUGUCUUCCUUUUAAGGAAUAGAUAUGAAACUUACAAGUUAAGAGAAAGUUUUUCUAUCAAAAGAAUUGAGUCAACUUAUCAGUGUUUCGAGAUUCAAGUUCCCUCUGUGUGUGUUCAGGAGUAAAACUAUGUGUUAUCAUUGAGUGUUGUUCACAUGUUAUUGUAAUUCUGUGUAUUUUUCUAUUUUCUCUACUAUUUUGAAUUUGAAUUGUGCUUAAUAUUUAUUUGUUGUAUUUUCUGUAAUUUUCUCUAAUUUCAAUCAAAUUUUAUUUUUUGAAAAAAAAAAACUAUAUAGUAUGUUUUAGGAAGAGUAUAUAUAUAUAUAUAUAUA
rnacentral:misc_RNA from 1 species